rnacentral:rRNA from 1 species
CAACUCGACUACAUGAAGCUGGAAUCGCUAGUAAUCGCAGAUCAGAAUGCUGCGGUGAAUACGUUCCCGGGUCUUGUACACACCGCCCGUCACACCAUGGGAGUCGGAAAUGCCCGAAGCCGGUGACCCAACCAAAAGGAGGGAGCCGUCGAAGGCAGGUCUGAUAACUGGGGUGAAGUCGUAACAAGGUAUC